UAGCACUAAUCUAUUUGUAUGGGCAAC
rnacentral:sRNA from 1 species